AUCUCGGUGACGCCGCUGGGAGGAAGAGACUGACCGACCGCCACCAGCCCCACGAUCUGAUAGCACGACUCGUACAGAGACACAUCCAUCACCACCUGACGGAUCUUCAGGAAGUGUGGCUGCAGCGGCUGGUGUGCGCUCAGCACGGAGCUCAUCUCGUCGUGGUCUGAUGGAUGAAUGUACUCAAAGAUGCUGUUACCGAAGAAAGAAACUGGUCCAGGUUUGGAAGGACAUCAGGGAGAGUGAAUGAGCUUUAUUUGGAUCAGGCGUAUAACACUGGGCUUUCUGAGACUGCCGCUGAAAAACAUUCCAUCACAGCUACAUUUUACAUCCCUGAUCCUAAAUUUAAAGUAACAGCAUAAUAUCUAUAAAUAAAAUGAUUUCAAACUGUAAAACAAGUUUUAAUUGUAUUUACAUUACAUUAAUCAAAUUAUACAAUGGUUUUCUUUAAAACAAACGCGCACACACACACAUUUUGUAUGGUGAUAGGGUUAGGGUCACAAAGGGUCUCUUUACAUGCUCGGAUACAAAAUCUAAAGGUUAAACAAGCACAACCUCAGUGUUUUUCUCAGAAUAGACUUCUGAAUAUCUCAUAGUCUGAAAUCCCAACAGAGAUUCAACAAAUUCACUUCACAUUCCCCAGAUAAAACCAUUCCUCGUGGCUCAGUUAUGUGUGUGUUGAAGUGUGUUAUCACU